GAUCAAUGUAUCCUGCCUAUUCUCACUUAUGGAGCCGAAACCUGGGUUUUCACCAAAGGCAUAUUACAGAAAACUGGUGGGGAUCACAUUGAGAGACCGUAAAACGAAUGAGUGGCUGAGACAGCAGAG